rnacentral:siRNA from 1 species
UUGGAUUGGCUGUUGACUUCGAC